rnacentral:rRNA from 1 species
GACGUAGGGCGCGAGCGUUGUCCGGAUUUAUUGGGCGUAAAGAGCGUGUAGGCGGCCAUGCAGGUCCGUUGUGAAAACUCGAGGCUCAACCUCGAGACGCCGGUGGAAACCGUGUGGCUAGAGUCCGGAAGAGGAGAGUGGAAUUCCUGGUGUAGCGGUGAAAUGCGCAGAUAUCAGGAGGAACACCGGUGGCGAAGGCGGUUCUCUGGGCCUGUACUGACGCUGAGGAACGAAAGCGUGGGGAGCGAACAGG